GCCGAAGUGGUGGAAUUGGUAGACACGUCGGUCUCAAAAACCGAUGAGUGUUAUAACUCGUGCCGGUUCAAGUCCGGCCUUCGGCACCA
rnacentral:tRNA from 1 species